AUUGAACGCUGGCGGAAUGCUUUACACAUGCAAGUCGAGCGGCAGCGCGGGGCAACCUGGCGGCGAGCGGCGAACGGGUGAGUAAUGCAUCGGAACGUACCCAUUUGUGGGGGAUAACUAUCCGAAAGGAUAGCUAAUACCGCAUAAGUCCUGAGGGAGAAAGCAGGGGAUCGCAAGACCUUGCGCGAAUGGAGCGGCCGAUGCCGGAUUAGCUAGUUGGUAGGGUAAAGGCCUACCAAGGCGACGAUCCGUAGCUGGUCUGAGAGGAUGAUCAGCCACACUGGAACUGAGACACGGUCCAGACUCCUACGGGAGGCAG
rnacentral:rRNA from 1 species